rnacentral:rRNA from 1 species
AAGCUCGUAGUUGAAUUUCGGGGUCAGUAGGUUGGUCAUGCCUCUGGUAUGUACUGGUCUCACUGAUUCCUCCUUCCUGAUGAACCGUAAUGCCAUUAAUUUGGUGUUGCGGGGAAUUUGGACUGUUACUUUGAAAAAAUUAGAGUGUUUAAAGCAAGCUAACGCUUGAAUACAUUAGCAUGGAAUAAUGAAAUAGGACGUUCGAUCCUAUUUUGUUGGUUUCUAGGAUUGACGUAAUGAUUAAUAGGGAUAGUUGGGGGCAUUAGUAUUCAAUUGUCAGAGGUGAAAUUCUUGGAUUUAUUGAAGACUAACUACUGCGAAAGCAUUUGCCAAGGAUGUUUUCAUUAAUCAAGAACGAAAGUUAGGGGAUCGAAGACGAUCAGAUACCGUCGUAGUCUUAACCAUAAACUAUGCCGACUAGGGAUCGGAUGAUGUUAAUUUUUUAAUGACUCAUUCGGCGCCUUACGGGAAACCAAAGUGUUUGGGUUCCGGGGGGAGUAUGGUCGCAAGGCCGAAACUUAAAGGAAUUGACGGAAGGGCACCACCAGGGGUGGAGCCUGCGGCUUAAUUUGACUCAACACGGGGAAA